AUUGAACGCUGGCGGCAUGCCUUACACAUGCAAGUCGAACGGCAGCACGGACUUCGGUCUGGUGGCGAGUGGCGAACGGGUGAGUAAUGUAUCGGAACGUACCUUUCAGUGGGGAUAACGUAGCGAAAGUUACGCUAAUACCGCAUAUUCUGUGAGCAGGAAAGCAGGGAUCGCAAGACCUUGCGCUGAUUGAGCGGCCGAUAUCAGAUUAGCUAGUUGGUGAGGUAAAGGCUCACCAAGGCGACGAUCUGUAGCGGGUCUGAGAGGAUGAUCCGCCACACUGGAACUGAGACACGGUCCAGACUCCUACGGGAGGCAGCAGUGGGGAAUUUUGGACAAUGGGGGCAACCCUGAUCCAGCCAUGCCGCGUGAGUGAAGAAGGCCUC
rnacentral:rRNA from 1 species